rnacentral:rRNA from 1 species
UACAGAGGUCUCAAGCGUUGUUCGGAUUCAUUGGGCGUAAAGGGUGCGUAGGCGGCGCGGUAAGUCGGGUGUGAAAUCUUGGAGCUUAACCCCGAAACUGCAUUCGAUACUGCCGUGCUUGAGGACUGGAGAGGAGACUGGAAUUUACGGUGUAGCGGUGAAAUGCGUAGAUAUCGGGAGGAACACCAGAGGCGAAGGCGGGUUACUGGGCUGAUACUGACGCUGAUGCGCGAAAGCUAGGGGAGCAAACGGG